GAGGCAAGACCGGGGAGCCGCGAGGCUGAGAGGGCGCCGCGCGGGCGCCGACCCGUUGAACCUGAUCCGGGUAAUGCCGGCGCAGGGAGAUUCUCGGAUGGCUUC
rnacentral:ncRNA from 2 species